UCUAUUGGUUUGAUUCAAUUGGAGGCCAGCCACGUGAUGACAUCAAAAAUAUUGUUGAAACGUGUGUGAAUUCAGCAAAGUUGUUGAGAAGCAAUGGAUCAACUCGUUCACCAAAAUGGAUUAAAGUUUUGAUUGUUGAGAGAGUUGGUGGAUCGAGCUACACUCAACAAAAAAUUGAUCAAGUUAGAGACGUAUGGGCCGAC